ensembl:lncRNA
CUUUGCCUUACAUGAACAGCCAUUCCUGAGACAAAUGGAUACAUUCUGCUCUUGCACUUGGCAGGUUUACUCUUUCUGGAAGAGAGACUUAGGCAUGAGGCCUCUGGGUCUCUCCAGCUGUGGCAGGUCGGUGGCAGUGAAUCCUCAAGGCCAGCUCUGCAGUGCCAUCUCACCAGGGGCUUGAGGGGCUGCACCAUGAAGAGGGCUUCCAGUCGCCAAGCAACUCAGCCCCAGAACUGGAAUCUACCCAGUGAACAUGCUUCUUUCUCCUGGGUAUGUCCAGUACGUAUACUGCCAGGCACCAACCCCCACGAACUAACUUCUACCCCAUGAUGCAGUGGCCAUAGUAUGGGCAAUAGAAUUCACCAUCUUGCCCGUCUACUUUCCCACUCAGAAUGGCAGAGGAAUGCUUCCAGAAGCUUCUGGAAGAUCUCACUGGCCAAAACUGUGAAGAGGAGGAACUGUUGGGACCUUGGAAUGGAUUAGGAACCAGGACAUUGUAGAGAAGGGGGAAGCAUUUCAGGAGCAAAUGGGGAUGUGGGUGCUCCAGAACUCCCUGAAGGAAUCCUUGGGCUAAAAGCAGCCCCAUUGUCUGAGUCCUAGAACCUUCUGAUGCCACUGGGUCUGGGUUGGCGACUCUGCACUUCAUACCCAGGCCUCCCCUAUUCCACAGUGUUCCCCUGGCACAUAAGCUCAAUCAAUCAAAAGCAGAAUGACUUCUCAGCUAUUGCCCUUUGCUUUCCAAAAUGCUACCAAGUACCAGUUCUCCUAGCUCUUUCCUAAAACGCACAGAUGCUUCAUUUCAAAGUUCUACGGAAUCAGGUAAAACCAAACAUCAACACAUUCCACAAGACGGCUCUGUCCCCACUAAUUUUACAUUUGAGGCAAGGGGACCCUGCUUCAUUCACUACACCAAGCUGUUCACCAAGAGGAGCCCACCAGGCCCCUGAAUUCCUCACCCAAGGGUCUGCAACACCAGAGCCAUUGUGCCACCUUCAGUGAAGAUGACCCUCAGUUCCAGCCCAAACAGAAAGCGUGUACUGCAUCAGCAAGACGGUGUUAGAGUUGGACUUCAAAGCCAGCCUGAUAAUAGCCUGUUUGCCAAAAGCACUGCGGGGCAAGACAGGACAGAGCACGUCGCAAGGAAGGGCUCCACGGCACAUUGGCCCACAGUGCUGCAAUCUGGGAGUGUGUGUCAGGCAAGGCUCAGAUCCACGACUUCACUCUGGAAGGGGAUCAUUUGGGGGCAAAAUCUGCAAUCUUCUGAGAACAGGAGGCAAGAAUGCUUUCAAGUUAUGACUAAGGAGCCAUUUGGGGAGAAGGGAGUUGAUCCUGUCAUUCACUUUGACAGGGCUUCUUAGCGGAAGAGGCGGAGGGGGCUGAGGAAAGGCGCCUAGAGAGGAUGGAAGGUGAAGCCAGCCCAGCACAUGGGAGUGAGACACUGCAAUUAGAGACCUUAUGGCAGAGCUGCUGGGAAGCUGCCCUGGCCAAAGGAAAAUGUUGAUUGGACCAGUUUUCGGAGGGAAACAGACAGUUCUUCUGCAAGCAGAUGGGUGAUAAAUCUCUAGGGAGGAGGGUGUGUUGUUCAUGUGCGAAAUGGUCUUAGCCAAAGAGUAAAAGCGCCAAGCCAUGUAUGUAAGCAGGAGCCACCUGGCUUGCAUGUGGCGGCAGGGGAUGUGCGUGCGUGCGUGCGCGCGCGCGCGCAUGUGAUGGGCGCAGACAUGAGUGGCAAAGAGGGAGAGAAGGAGAAACAGGGUGCUUUCUGCAUCUCUGUCCUUUUUGCUCUUUUGCUUUACUCUCCCUCUUCCUAACACCCUCUUAUUGUUUUAACCCUUUCUGGUCGAACUACAAAAUUAAAAAAAAAAAAAAUCGAAGUGACCAUAAUCAUCCGCCUACAGAGGCCCAAAUGAGAACAAGCCCUUCUACGAACUCACACACAGAUCCCUUCUCCCCAUAAAGCCUGUUCUUGUGGACUAGAUCUUACAGGGGAACAAGCAGGAGGGACUCUGUAGAGCUCCCCGUGGCCCAGCUCCCUCUGCAGAAGAGGGGAAAGCCAUUCCUCUCCAGGAAUCCUCACCGUGCUUGCUCCAGUAAUGUCUCUCUCUCGCACACGUUUAAAAGCUCUAAGAAAAAAGUGGCCCUCAUUUCUGAUUUUUCAGACUUUCCUAUAAACACUUCUAAAGUCCGUGUAGACAUCAAGGGUACCCCUUGCACAAUGAUCUUGCCUGCUGCCAGGUGUUAGGGCCUCAGGCCCCAGGGCUGGGACAGAAAUACAACUUCCAGUCUCUCAUUCGGCUUCUGCAAAACAAUACCGUGUACAGAUUUGGGCCUUAUAAUUGGGUUCUGCGAACUGUUUGCACCCCAAAGAGAAAGCAGAUAUGCAAAAUGAUUGAAGUGUCUUCUACAGGGCUCUGGGGUUGUGUUGAAACACUCUGGCUCUGAAACACUGAGACAAUGUUUCACAGAUUUUCAGUGACUGGAGGGAUGUGGUUGUGGGAAGGCAGCUUUGCAACAUGCUGAAUUAUUUAGCUGACUCAAACGAGCAGAUUUUUAUAUUGACAAAUGUACCUGAGAUGGUCUUUAAUGUUUGUG